CCUUUGUCUAAAGAUUAUUGUGAUACCGCUUGUAUGGAAUGUGAGGAAAAGUGGUGAUUGAUGGUGCGUGGUUUAUUCUGAGCUGUUGGUUCUUUUAAAAUUCAGAGCUCAAAUGGUCAACCUGCCACCAUAGAGUUAAAAUGUUGAGUCUCAAGUUUUCUGCUUGAGAUAAACUCAUUGUUUAUGAUAUCCAAAAUGAUCUGUGUUUGUUAUGAUUGUUGAUAAAUGAGAUCCUCUUUCCCUGUCCGGAACUCCCGGAGCCAGCCCAGGGGAGACACCGGAUGGGGCCGUAGCCGGGGAUGCACCCAGCGCACAGCAAGGGGGAAGGAGCGCCUGCUGCCGCCAUCUUAGCACCAUGAGAGGGGCCAGGGGCGGCACCGCCGGAACUAACUCCAGGCCCACGCCCAGUAAAUUAGGACUCGGGGUUUGGAAUUGUCUCUCCCGGCAGCGGACUCAAUUUGAGCCAGAAGUAACCUGUAGCUGGGGCGGGCAAUUUGCAGCAAUAUCAGACAGGGAGGCUUGAAUGUGCAAGAGCAGCUAAAGAAUCCUCUGAGACAGUCAAAAGGAAUGGGUGAAAAAGCUGCCCCAAGCUCACUUUUUGUAAAGAAGAAGAACCUUGAAAGGCAUAUUGCCCCAAAUUGUAAAGAUCUCCAGAUGGCAGGAAGCCUCUAGGGAAGCAAAUAGUGUUUUUUAAAGUCCAGGACUCAGAGAGUGAAGGAGGGGCCCAUAGCUCCCCUGCCUCCAAAUAUCCCCAUAGGAGCCCUGGACAAAAUUGACAGUUGGGUUUCGAUUGGCAUUAGCAUCGUGGACAAAAGCAGUCUGGUGGGGGCCCUUUCCCCUAACUGCCACCCUGAUCCCCGGCACCAAUCAUGACUGGUACUCUUUGAGCCAGGCAGGGGGCAGCAGGUAGGGCCCAGGUGGCAGUGAGGCAUCUGUAGACAAACAGUGGCCGAGAAACUCAUCACAGCGGGCCCAGGAGGUGGACCUGGUUGAACAGCAGAAGCAUGAAGGGUUGUUUCAGAAGUGGCAGAAGCUCACCUCUCCUGCUGGAUGAAUACCAGGUCCUGGUGAAGAAUACAAGAAACUCCCACUGUGCUUUGAAGUUCUGGCCUCAGCAACUUCAGUUCUGGCCUGCACAUCAUUCAGUCCAGGGAAAGAGGCUGAGCAGGUAGAAAAUGGUACCCUGGUGAUGGACACCGUGGGCAGACAGCUGCAGAGAUGGCUCAGCAGCUCCUCCUCCUACAGCAAGGACAUCAGCAGGCACCCCAUUGUCAACAGGACUCAAGACCACACUCCACAGAGCCCUGGACAUUUCACAAGAGGGAUAAUAGACCCUUCUUUGUAGCAGAGAAGUUUGGAAGAAGUUAAUUCCAGUCCUCAUAGAUGACUUUGAUGGAUUCAAGACUUCAAUGGGAGAAGUAACUGCAGAUUUGGUAGAAAUAGCAAGAGAAUAGAAUUAGAAUUGGAGCUUGAAGAUGUGACUGAAUUGCACAAUCUUAUGAUAAAACUAAGAGAAAUUGACACAGCCGCCCCAACCUUCAGCAACCACCACCC